rnacentral:rRNA from 1 species
UACGAAGGGGGCUAGCGUUGCUCGGAAUUACUGGGCGUAAAGCGCACGUAGGCGGCUUUGUAAAGUUAGAGGUGAAAGCCCGGGGCUCAACCCCGGAAUUGCCUUUAAGACUGCAUCGCUUGAAUCCAGGAGAGGUGAGUGGAAUUCCGAGUGUAGAGGUGAAAUUCGUAGAUAUUCGCAAGAACACCAGUGGCGAAGGCAGUCCCCUGGGCCUGCACUGACGCUCAUGCACG